rnacentral:rRNA from 1 species
CCUACGGGAGGCAGCAGUAGGGAAUCUUCCACAAUGGGCGAAAGCCUGAUGGAGCAACGCCGCGUGGGUGAAGAAGGUCUUCGGAUCGUAAAACUCUGUUGUUAGAGAAGAAAGUGCGUGAGAGUAACUGUUCACGUUUCGACGGUAUCUAACCAGAAAGCCACGGCUAACUACGUGCCAGCAGCCGCGGUAAUACGUAGGUGGCAAGCGUUAGCCGGAUUUAUUGGGCGUAAAGGGAACGCAGGCGGUCUUUUAAGUCUGAUGUGAAAGCCUUCGGCUUAACCGGAGUAGUGAAGUGGAAACUGGGAGACUUGAGUGCAGAAGAGGAGAGUGGAACUCCAAGUGUAGCGGUGAAAUGCGUAGAUAUAUGGAAGAACACCAGUGGCGAAGGCGGCUCUCUGGUCUGUAACUGACGCUGAGGUUCGAAAGCGUGGGUAGCAAACAGGAUUAGAUACCCCUGUAGUC